AGUGAACGCUGGCGGUAGGCCUAACACAUGCAAGUCGAACGGCAGCACAGUAAGAGCUUGCUCUUACGGGUGGCGAGUGGCGGACGGGUGAGGAAUACAUCGGCAUCUACUUUUUCGUGGGGGAUAACGUAGGGAAACUUACGCUAAUACCGCAUACGACCUACGGGUGAAAGCAGGGGAUCUUCGGACCUUGCGCGAUUGAAUGAGCCGAUGUCGGAUUAGCUAGUUGGCGGGGUAAAGGCCCACCAAGGCGACGAUCCGUAGCUGAUCUGAGAGGAUGAUCAGCCACACUGGAACUGAGACACGGUCCAGACUCCUACGGGAGGCAGCAGUGGGGAAUAUUCGACAAUGGGCGCAAGCCUGAUCCAGCCAUACCGCGUGGGUGAAGAAGGCCUUCGGGUUGUAAAGCCCUUUUGUUGGGAAAGAAAAGCUGCAGGUUAAUCCCCCGCUGUUCUGACGGUACCCAAAGAAUAAGCACCGGCUAACUUCGUG
rnacentral:rRNA from 1 species